rnacentral:ncRNA from 1 species
CAUUUAAGGUGUCAGAAUACCAAAUUGGUUCUGAUGAAAAGGGAAACAGGUGAAAAUCCUGUACGAACUCGUCACUGUGAUAAGGGAGUUGCGGCAAAUACGUCACUGAUAUUAAUCGGGAAGACUGCUGUUAAUGAUGAUCUUUUAGUCAGGAGACCUGCCUUGGAUGA